rnacentral:rRNA from 1 species
ACUUGCUUUCUUUGCUGGCGACCGGCGCACGGGUGGGUAACACGUAUCCAACCUGCCCUUUACUCGGGGAUAGCCUUUCGAAAGAAAGAUUAAUACCCGAUAGCAUAAUGAUUCCGCAUGGUUUCAUUAUUAAAGGAUUCCGGUAAAGGAUGGGGAUGCGUUCCAUUAGGUUGUUGGUGGGGUAACGGCCCACCAAGCCUUCGAUGGAUAGGGGUUCUGAGAGGAAGGUCCCCCACAUUGGAACUGAGACACGGUCCAA